rnacentral:rRNA from 1 species
UUUUUAUUAUUAUAUUAAAUUUUUAUUAAUUUUUUUAAUUAAGUAUUAAUGAAUAAUUUAUUUAUUUUUUUUUGUAAAAUUAAAUUUUAAAAUUGAUUUAUUUUUUUAUAGUACCUUUUGUAUUAGGGUAAUUUAAAUUAGUAAAAUAUUUUUUUUCCCGAAUCUAAAAUUUCAAAUUUAAUAUUAAUAUAUUUGUUUCAUAAAAUUUUUUAAUUUUAUUUUUGUAAUUAAAAGUUAAUCGUUUUUAGUAUAUAUCUGGUUAUUUAAGACUAAAUUUAAUUUAGAAUUAUUUAUAUUUAUAUUAUUUUAUAUUAAUUAAUUUUAUUUUAUAAGGGAUAAUCUUUAUAUUUUUAUAUAAUUUAGCUUUUAAUAUUUAAAUUAUCUUUUAAAUUUUGAAUUAAGUUUUUAAUAAAUUUUUUUAUAAUUUUUUGAUUUCAUUAAAUUUGUAUUUUUAUUGAAUUUAUUUAAUUAUUUAUAUUUAUUUUUAAUAAUGAUUUAAUUAGUAGUAUUUUUAUAUAUUUUAAUUGAAUUCGACAAUUAUAAUUUUCAACUGUUUAUCAAAAACAUUUCCUUUAGAAACAAUUAAAUUAAAGGUAAAUUCUGCUCUAUGAUUAAUUAAAUGGCUGCAGUAUUUUAACUGUACAAAGGUAGCAUAAUAAUUAGUCUUUUAAUUGAGGGCUGGUAUGAAUGAAUAAAUGAGAAAUUUAUUAUAAUUUUACAUAAACUUAUUAACUUAAUUUUUUGGUAAAAAAGCUAAAUUUUAAAUUUGGGACGAAAAGACCCUACAGAACUAUAUUUAUUUUAUUUAAAUUAAAUUUUAUUAUAAUUUAUUUUAUUUGUUUAAAUUUUAUUGGGGUGAUAAUUAAAUUUAAACUUUAUUUUUAUAUUUCUUUUUAUAUAAGAUCUCUCUUUGAUUCAAUUUUUAUUUGGUUUAAGAUAAAGUUACCUUAGGGAUAACAGCGUUAUUUAAAUGGGGAGUUCAUAUUUAUAUUUAAGUUUGCGACCUCGAUGUUGAAUUAAGAUAAUUUUGAGGGGCAGUUUUUUUAAAAUUAAGUCUGUUCGACUUUUAAAUUCUUACAUGAUUUGAGUUCAAACCGGUGUGAGCCAGGUUGGUUUCUAUCUUAAUUUGAUUUAAUUAAUUUAGUACGAAAGGACCAAUUAAUUCAUUAUAUUUAAUGUUAAUUUUUAAAUAUUAACU